rnacentral:lncRNA from 1 species
AGAUUUUUUUUUUUACCAGAUUUGAAAAAAAAAAAAAAAAAAAAGAGAUUACUAAAACUGGUGGUCCCCACUGGUAAUGGAGAAGGCUGCCUAGUUUCCAUUCUGGGAUCUCAGGCCCCCACAUACUCAGGGGAUGCUGUCCGGUUUGCCUAGCCUCAUCGAUGCUGCUGAGAGGGGGACUCUGGGCUCUCUCUUCUGCCCAGUGUUAUCUUCGAAGCUCACACCUCAGAGUGGACCCUGGUUUUCAGCCCCUAUCUGCUAAUACCAGGUAUCCCUUGAUUUACAGCUUUGAUUAAGCACGUGCAUGGUGCAGAGUGCGGAGCUGUGCUCCCAGGAGUCUUGGGGCCUGCACUGGGGCCCUCCAGAGAAACCUUGCUAGAGCCGCUGACAGCACCCGUUUUUGUUUAAGGUUUGGUCCCUAGAGUGGAGGGUGGGGCAGGGCCUUCCCCAGAGUUUGGUGGGAAAAGAGAGGGUGGGGCCUGGGCCGCUAGGUUGGCUGUUGUGUUGUGAGUCACAGGUCCCCUUCUUGAGCAAUCACUGCUGCCAGGGUGGAGCUAGUCGCGUUAUUUUGGGUUUCUGGGCUGAGCCAGGCCUCAGGGGCUUAGGCCUGUGUUUCCCCAGCUGCUCACCAUCCUCAGACUGGGAGCCAGCUGCGCCAGGGCGCCUGCAGCAGCGGGCAGGGAGCAGCAGAUCCAGACGUUGUGUGCCCGCCCAAGGCAAGGGCGGCAGCGAGAUCCUCAUAGGACAAGUCCUCUGCACUAGUCACAGCCCCGGGCCUCCAGAGCCUACGUGGGGUUGGUCUCCUUUAGAACCCAACAAGUCUGACCUGGAAGGGCUUUGCGUUCUGCCCUAGGUUGUUUUAUUGUGGAUCCCAGAGGAGAUGCGAACUCGGGCAUGUGGGAACAACUGAGCCUCCUUCCAUUGUGAAAUGUAAUGACUCUCUACAGUCCCCACCCAAAGAGGGAGACCAGGCCUCAGCAACUUAAUGGCACCCUUGCUUCAAUGCCUCUAACUCAGUAGUGGAGAACGGCUCUGCUUGCCUUGGCUAUGCCUUCUCCCAACCACAUCAUCCUCUAUCGAGAAUUUCAUUCAUUGAUAAAAGUCUAGUUAGGCUCAUGUGUUCAAAGCUGUGUUGACAAUAGGAGUUCAUGUCAGAGGGCCUUGCCACGAUUGGUAGCUUUGACCAUACACAUGGUUAAUACCCCCUUUCCUCCCUCUCUUCUUUGUUACACCCCUCCUCUACCACUUGCCCCACCCACACCAACCUCCCCCUCAUUGUACACCACACACACACACAUUCAUACUCUCUCUCUCUCUCCUCUCUCUUUCCCCUCUCUCUCCCCUCCUCACCCCCAAUCCACCACUCCCACUCCUACACUCUCCAAGAGUCCUGCUAUGUACCCCACACAGGCUGACCUGAAGCCGAGUGCCCUCUUUCUCCUCCUGCUCUACAUUUACGGUCCUCUGAUUGCCAAUGAGGUUGAGCAGUAGAGCUGAUUCAGACCAGGCUCACAGAAACGGUGGAUAACCAGAGUCAGCAGGGUAAUGGAAGCAUGAUGGAGACACAGGACACUCAGCUUGACAAGCAGAUAUGAUGAAGAACUGAAUAGAGCAAAGGAAAUUCAUAUUGGUUUUUUUUUUUUUUUUCAAGACAGAGUUUUUCUGUGUAGCCCUCGCUGGCCUUGAACUCACCGAGAUUCACCUGCCUCCCGAGUGCUGGGAUUAAAAGCAUAUGCCACCACUGCCCAGGUUUUUACUGUUUUUUUUUACCUCACUCUGUAACUGAGGUUGACCUUGAAUUCAUGGUAAUGCUCCUGCCUCAGCCUUUAAAUACUGGAAUUACUAAAAUGAGUCACCAUUCCCACAACAUUCAUUUUGGUUUUUAUGACCUUUGCUCUUUCAGAGGUUCUGCAGUUGGAACCCCAAAGCAAAUGCUAUACCACAGAGGUACAAUCCCAGACUCUCAGAAAUGAACAUUUAAGUGUCUAGUUUAAAUAGGAUAGUAAAGCUAUGGACAAAGUUAGUAAACGAACUUUUUCUGAAAAUUUUGACAGAAAAAAUGGAAAAGAUGAAGAUAAAAGAAAUAUGGAAGUAUAAAGGGUUAGAGACUAGAGCCAAACUGGCAAGCCUUUUGUUGUAAAGGUAAAUUUUUCAGGCCUUGUGGCCAUAGGGUCUCUUCAUAACUACCAGUUGUGCACUUAUGCCUUGAAAGUGGUCAUGGGAGCUGUUUAGAUGAUAGUUGUGGCUUUGUGUCAAUAAAACGUUACUUACAAAGCCAGGCAAUCCUCCCAUCUUGGCCUGUGUGCUAUAAUUUGCCAGCAGCUUGAAAAGUUCCUGCAUAAAGACCAGAUGCUCAGAAAUUGAUAAAAUUCUGUCUCAGAUAUAUACAUAUACAUAUGUAUGCAAUUUGUUUUGUUUUUGCUGUUUUUGUUUUCCUGUCGGUCUCUCUACACAGCCUUGGCUGUCCUAGAGCUCACUUUGUAGAUCAGGCUAACCUCUAACUCUCAGGAUCUGCCUGUCUGGAGUGCUGGGAUUGCAGGCAUGCUCCACCAUGCCCGCCUAACAGCUGUUUUCCACAAAAUUAGAAGACAAUGAAAAUAAUUGCUAACACAGGCUUUUGUCAUCAGUAAAAAACCUUUUCAUUAAUGUGGGUAGGGUAAAGCCCUUUGGAACCAGAUGAAAACAGAGAUUUCUGCCAGUAAGACUCCCCCAAAACACACACACACACUAAAGAAACUUCUAGAGGACAAGGUUCAAGAAGAAAAAUUACUUAAGGAAGAAAAAGACCUAAAAUUUCAGAAGAAAGCACAGAGCUAAAUCUAAAUAUUAGUGAGAAAGACAAUAGAGAUAACAAUGUCUAGUGUGUGGGGAUAAAAGUGAAGUUGUAAUUACAAUCCUGAUAGCUAUAGCUAUAAAUGGGAAGGUAAGUCUUUGAAGUUUAAGAGCUGAGAUCCUUGUAUAAUUCAAGAAGAGGUCAAAGAUAGUAUCAGAUGCAGGUUAUGGUUUUUUGGUGAAAGCUGGAGAGAUUGCUCAGCAGGUAAACAGUCAAUUCAAUUCCGAGCACCCACACAAGGUAGGAGAAGAGAACUGACUUCCCAGAGUUGUCUGCCAACCUCCACACACAUGCCAUAGCACACACAAGACACACACACACACUUUAAAUACUUUUAAAACUCCGAAGAUGAAAACUGCAUCUUCCAAACUAGUAAAGG